AUUGAACGCUGGCGGCAGGCCUAACACAUGCAAGUCGAACGAGUGGCGGACGGGUGAGUAAUGUCUGGGACACUGCCUGAUGGAGGGGGAUAACUACUGGAAACGGUAGCUAAUACCGCAUACCAUCAGAUGUGCCCAGGUGGGAUUAGCUAGUUGGGGGGGUAACGGCUCACCAAGGAGAAGAUCCCUAGAUGGGCUGAGCGGAUGACCAGCCACACUGGAUGUGCGACACGGUCCAGACUCCUACGGGAGGCAGCAGUGGGGAAUAUUGCACAAUGGGCGCAAGCCUGAUGCAGCCAUGCCGCGUGUAUGAAGAAGGCCUUCGGGUUGUAAAGUACUUUCAGCGGGGAGGCGUUACCCGCAGAAGAAGCACCGGCUAACUCCGUGCCAGCAGCCGCGGUAAUAC
rnacentral:rRNA from 1 species